rnacentral:rRNA from 1 species
CGAAAAGAACCCCGGCGAGGGGAGUGAAAAAGAACCUGAAACCGUGUACGUACAAGCAGUGGGAGCCCCACCACCAAAGCAUUCUCUGGUGUUGAAGGCCCUGCAAAGCAGCAUCGCGGUGGCGGAGCGUCGUUUGCGACGCCCAACACACAAAACAAGCGGUGAAUGCUUUGGGGUGGGGUGACUGCGUACCUUUUGUAUAAUGGGUCAGCGACUUAUAUUCUGUAGCAAGGUUAACCGAAUAGGGG